CUUGUUCGGGGAGGCGUCAAUGAUGUCACACUUCCAAGAAAAGCUCGUACUCCAUCUCUUUUAGAGAUAAAACUUUCAAAAAACCUGUACCUGAAACCGACACAGGUAGGUUGGUAGAGAAUACCAAGGGGCGCAAGAGAACUCUCUCUAAGGAACUCGGCAAACUGGCCCCGUAACUUCGGGAGAAGGGGCGCCCUUGAGCAAUCAAGGGUCACAGUAAACGGGCUGUGGCGACUGUUUACCAAAAACACAGGUCUCCGCAAAGUCGUAAGACAAUAUAUGGGGGCUGACGCCUGCCCAGUGCCGGAAGGUGAAGGAAGUUGGUUAUUUUACUUGUAAGAGAAGCUGACGACCGAAGCCCCGGUGAACGGCAGCUGUAACAAUGACAGUUCUAAGGUAGCGAAAUUCAUUGUCGAGUAAGUUUCGACCUGCACGAAAGGCGUAACGAUCACAGCGCUGUCUCAGAGAGAGACUUGGUGAAAUAGACUUGUCCGUGAAGAUGCGGACUAACAACGCUUGGACAGAAAGACCCUAUGAAGCUUGACUGUAUCCUGGAAUUGGGUUCGGGCUUUUCUUGCGCAGUCUAGGUGGGAGGCUUUGAAGGUUUCCUUCCGGGGAAAUUGGAGCCAUCAGUGAGAGACCACUCUGGAAAGGCUAGAAUCCUAAUGGUGAUCCUUUAGUCAGGACACUUGACGUUUUCAGGUGGGCAGUUUGUUUGGGGCGAACGCCUCCUAAAAGGUAACGGAGGUGCGCAAAGGUUCCCUCAGUCUGGACGGAAAUCAGACGUAAAAGAGUGUAAAGGCAAAAGGGAGCUUGACUGCAAGACCUACAAGUCGAGCAGGGGCGAAAGCCGGCCUUAGUGAUCCGACGGUGCCGUGUGGAAGGGCCGUCGCUCAACGGAUAAAAGUUACUCUAGGAUAACAGGCUGAUCUUCUCCAAGAGUUCACAUCGACGAGAAGGUUUGGCACCUCGAUGUCGGCUCAUCACAUCCUGGGGCUGUAGUAGGUCCCAAGGGUUGGGCUGUUCGCCCAUUAAAGUGGUACGUGAGCUGGGUUCAAAACGUCGUAAGACAGUUUGGUCCAUAUCCGGUGUUGUCGUUAGAGCAUUGAGAGGAUCCAUCCCUAGUACGAGAGGGUUGGGAUGGUCGUGCCUAUUGUGUAUCAGUUCUUUCUCCAGAAGGAAACGCUGAGUAGCUACGCACGGUUUAGAUAACCGCUGAAAGCAUCUAAGUGGGAAGCUUUCCUCAAGAUGAGUGCUCUCCAUCAUGCCGCAGCUAGACAAGCUGAUUAAUAGGUAUCAGGUGUAAGAUCUGUAAGGGUUUUAGCCGAGAUAUACUAAAGGCCAAUUGAUUUU
rnacentral:rRNA from 1 species